AUUGAACGCUGGCGGCAUGCCUUACACAUGCAAGUCGAACGGCAGCGGACCUUCGGGUGCCGGCGAGUGGCGAACGGGUGAGUAAUAUAUCGGAACGUACCUUUCAGUGGGGGAUAACGUAGCGAAAGUUACGCUAAUACCGCAUAUUCUGUGAGCAGGAAAGCAGGGGAUCGCAAGACCUUGCGCUGAUUGAGCGGCCGAUAUCAGAUUAGCUAGUUGGUGAGGUAAAGGCUCACCAAGGCGACGAUCUGUAGCGGGUCUGAGAGGAUGAUCCGCCACACUGGAACUGAGACACGGUCCAGACUCCUACGGGAGGCAGCAGUGGGGAAUUUUGGACAAUGGGCGCAAGCCUGAUCCAGCCAUGCCGCGUGAGUGAUGAAGGCCUUAGGGUUGUAAAGCUCUUUUACUGGGGAUGAUAAUGACAGUACCCAGAGAAUAAGCUCCGGCUAACUCCGUGCCAGCAGCCGCGGUAA
rnacentral:rRNA from 1 species